rnacentral:rRNA from 1 species
AUGAUGGCCGCUCUACAUUGUCUCCUAUGGUGGCGUCUGUACAUGAUAGUGGUCACUAUACGUCGACUAUACACGCGGCUUUCAUGGGUGAUGGCACCUGCUCUUCGUCGGGGAGUGUUUAUAACUCGAUCACUUCUGUUGUGUCACCGUGUGUCCAUGAGAUUGCUCAACUCUGUUGCCUGCUUGAAGCUUGGGAUUCUACACCGACAUGAUCUGCACAUUUUGUGUGUGACUUUUCUGGCACCGACUGACCACUUUCUCCUCACCCAGGCUUCGAUACGAGCAACAACCUCACAUGUCACCAAAGUGUCCAAACUAAAGCGAAAGUUGGAAGAAAAGCAAGUUGACACGUCGGAGGUUGAGGCCCUCAGGAGCGCGCUAGCCGAGUCCAAGGAGGCGUACGAGGAAUGA